UUGAAAGACAGGGUCCUGAAAAAGGAAUGUUUAUUUUUUUUGCUGAGUUUUUAUAUGGAGGAGAUUGUAUAUCUUCUGUUUUUCACCACCCGGAACCCCUAAGAACACUGCUACUUCCCCCUCUCUGUCUCUGACACUUCCAACCAGUGGUAUAAUUCUCUUCUCCAUGUUGUGUCCACUUGUAACACCCCCUCCUGGAAGUAAGAGGAAUGGACACUAAGAAAUGUAGUCAACCCCCUCUAGCCUUAAGCCAGCCUACUACAGGGUGCAGCAGGUACCUACUCUCUAGGCAGCGGCAUUCGCUUCAAUGACUGGGAAACCAUCCCUACCGGGUUCAGCUCCCCAGCAACUUACCUCAACAACGGUCCCCAUGGAAACAACAGCCUCACCUGCAACAGGUGUGUGAAGGGGAGGGGUUAACCUGUUCUGAUUUGAAAUCAUUAUGGCAUUGCAGUUCUCACAUCUCAUUCAUCUCUGCUGUGUGUGUGUGCCCAGUUCGUCCUGGUUCCCCCAGGGUAGUUACCUGGAGUCUAACAGAUGAGUGUACUGUCUCUCUGACGUAUGCUGUCCAUCUGAAGAAACAGGAAUCAUUCUCCUUUGAAUACCAGUACACUGACCCUAACCUCUUAUUUUACUUCUUUGUGAGUCUUCUACUUCAUUCACACAUUUCUAAGAUAUCUGCUAGUCUCAUCUGCAAUAACUUCCAGAACACUAAAUAUACUGAUAUUCACAAAUGUAUUGAUUGGUUGAUGUUCUGGUUGCUUGGCAGAUCCCGAAUGACCAGUGUCAGGAGAUGGACCAGACUGCUGAUAAGAAGUGGCUCAAGCUCACCAGUCAUGGGGUGGGCCACACACACUGUAAGAGAAACAUACUCGCUUGAUAGGUUAGGCAUUCUCUGUGAGGUUCCAGCACCAUCUAGUGUCCAGUCUUGGGAUGCUCUUGGUUCGUAGAUGUGCAUUCCAUUCAGUGGGCAUUCCAUACAGGCCUCUACUACAAAAUACAUGUGGUAAAACACAGGUUGGAUCAUUUGUGCAUUGAUUAAUAAGUUGAUCGUGUGUGUGUGCCAGGUAAAUCUGAAGUCUGGUACUAAAGUCUUGUACUGGAAGACUGCAGGGGUCCUGCGAGCUAAAGCAAUGAAACCUGUUCUGCUGAAGAACGUCCACAUAGAGGGUAGGACCUGUGUUUGUGUGUCUUUAUUGUAGUUGUUCAUGCCAGUUUCCCUCUGUACUGUACGGUGUUAUUUUAUCUUUCUCAAGGAAUGGUGUAUGCGUCAGUGUUCCCCUUGUAAACCAGGGACGUUCAGUCAAACCCCAGGCUCCUCCACAUGUCAGCCCUGCCCCAGAGACACCCACUCUGGCCACGGAGCCAGCUCCUGUACCCCUUGCAACACCACCACACUCUAUGCUUCGACAGGGUCAGGUGUGUGCAAAACGAGACCACCAUGACCCAAGAAGGAUUACUUUCAGAUCCACACCCCCUGUGACCUUGAGGGCAAGGUGAUCUACAGGUGGGUGGAGCCUCAGAUCUGUCUGGUCGGUGUGGCUGAAACACUGCUCCCUUCGGGUGACCGUGAGACAUGCAACCCUGGUUUCUAUAACAACCAACACAGCUAACCUCCCUGCCCCCCUGGGACAUUCUCUGAUGGGU